GACGAACCGUGCGAACGUUAUUCGGAAUCACUGGGCUUAAAGGGCGCGUAGGCGGGUCUUCAAGUCCGGGGUGAAAUCCCACGGCCCAACCGUGGAAGUGCCUUGGAUACUGGAGACCUCGAGGGGGAUAGGGGCGUGCGGAACUCAGGGUGGAGCGGUGAAAUGCGUAGAUAUCCUGAGGAACACCGGUGGCGAAAGCGGCGCGCUGGAUCCCUUCUGACGCUGAGGCGCGAAAGCCAGGGGAGCAAACGGG
rnacentral:rRNA from 1 species